rnacentral:antisense_RNA from 2 species
CUUCAGCGAUCCCAGCCACAGCGGACGCUCGGGAUCACGAUCUUGGCCGUAGGUCGCCAGCAGCGCCUGCGCCUC